rnacentral:rRNA from 1 species
UUAAGCGACUAAGCGUACACGGUGGAUGCCCUGGCAGUCAGAGGCGAUGAAGGACGUGCUAAUCUGCGAUAAGCGUCGGUAAGGUGAUAUGAACCGUUAUAACCGGCGAUUUCCGAAUGGGGAAACCCAGUGUGUUUCGACACACUAUCAUUAACUGAAUCCAUAGGUUAAUGAGGCGAACCGGGGGAACUGAAACAUCUAAGUACCCCGAGGAAAAGAAAUCAACCGAGAUUCCCCCAGUAGCGGCGAGCGAACGGGGAGCAGCCCAGAGCCUGAAUCAGUAUGUGUGUUAGUGGAAGCGUCUGGAAAGGCGCGCGAUACAGGGUGACAGCCCCGUACACAAAAAUGCACAUGCUGUGAGCUCGAUGAGUAGGGCGGGACACGUGGUAUCCUGUCUGAAUAUGGGGGGACCAUCCUCCAAGGCUAAAUACUCCUGACUGACCGAUAGUGAACCAGUACCGUGAGGGAAAGGCGAAAAGAACCCCGGCGAGGGGAGUGAAAAAGAACCUGAAACCGUGUACGUACAAGCAGUGGGAGCACGCUUAGGCGUGUGACUGCGUACCUUUUGUAUAAUGGGUCAGCGACUUAUAUUCUGUAGCAAGGUUAACCGAAUAGGGGAGCCGAAGGGAAACCGAGUCUUAACUGGGCGUUAAGUUGCAGGGUAUAGACCCGAAACCCGGUGAUCUAGCCAUGGGCAGGUUGAAGGUUGGGUAACACUAACUGGAGGACCGAACCGACUAAUGUUGAAAAAUUAGCGGAUGACUUGUGGCUGGGGGUGAAAGGCCAAUCAAACCGGGAGAUAGCUGGUUCUCCCCGAAAGCUAUUUAGGUAGCGCCUCGUGAAUUCAUCUCCGGGGGUAGAGCACUGUUUCGGCAAGGGGGUCAUCCCGACUUACCAACCCGAUGCAAACUGCGAAUACCGGAGAAUGUUAUCACGGGAGACACACGGCGGGUGCUAACGUCCGUCGUGAAGAGGGAAACAACCCAGACCGCCAGCUAAGGUCCCAAAGUCAUGGUUAAGUGGGAAACGAUGUGGGAAGGCCCAGACAGCCAGGAUGUUGGCUUAGAAGCAGCCAUCAUUUAAAGAAAGCGUAAUAGCUCACUGGUCGAGUCGGCCUGCGCGGAAGAUGUAACGGGGCUAAACCAUGCACCGAAGCUGCGGCAGCGACGCUGAUGCGUUGUUGGGUAGGGGAGCGUUCUGUAAGCCUGCGAAGGUGUGCUGUGAGGCAUGCUGGAGGUAUCAGAAGUGCGAAUGCUGACAUAAGUAACGAUAAAGCGGGUGAAAAGCCCGCUCGCCGGAAGACCAAGGGUUCCUGUCCAACGUUAAUCGGGGCAGGGUGAGUCGACCCCUAAGGCGAGGCCGAAAGGCGUAGUCGAUGGGAAACAGGUUAAUAUUCCUGUACUUGGUGUUACUGCGAAGGGGGGACGGAGAAGGCUAUGUUGGCCGGGCGACGGUUGUCCCGGUUUAAGCGUGUAGGCUGGUUUUCCAGGCAAAUCCGGAAAAUCAAGGCUGAGGCGUGAUGACGAGGCACUACGGUGCUGAAGCAACAAAUGCCCUGCUUCCAGGAAAAGCCUCUAAGCAUCAGGUAACAUCAAAUCGUACCCCAAACCGACACAGGUGGUCAGGUAGAGAAUACCAAGGCGCUUGAGAGAACUCGGGUGAAGGAACUAGGCAAAAUGGUGCCGUAACUUCGGGAGAAGGCACGCUGAUAUGUAGGUGAAGUCCCUCGCGGAUGGAGCUGAAAUCAGUCGAAGAUACCAGCUGGCUGCAACUGUUUAUUAAAAACACAGCACUGUGCAAACACGAAAGUGGACGUAUACGGUGUGACGCCUGCCCGGUGCCGGAAGGUUAAUUGAUGGGGUUAGCGCAAGCGAAGCUCUUGAUCGAAGCCCCGGUAAACGGCGGCCGUAACUAUAACGGUCCUAAGGUAGCGAAAUUCCUUGUCGGGUAAGUUCCGACCUGCACGAAUGGCGUAAUGAUGGCCAGGCUGUCUCCACCCGAGACUCAGUGAAAUUGAACUCGCUGUGAAGAUGCAGUGUACCCGCGGCAAGACGGAAAGACCCCGUGAACCUUUACUAUAGCUUGACACUGAACAUUGAGCCUUGAUGUGUAGGAUAGGUGGGAGGCUUUGAAGUGUGGACGCCAGUCUGCAUGGAGCCGACCUUGAAAUACCACCCUUUAAUGUUUGAUGUUCUAACGUUGACCCGUAAUCCGGGUUGCGGACAGUGUCUGGUGGGUAGUUUGACUGGGGCGGUCUCCUCCUAAAGAGUAACGGAGGAGCACGAAGGUUGGCUAAUCCUGGUCGGACAUCAGGAGGUUAGUGCAAUGGCAUAAGCCAGCUUGACUGCGAGCGUGACGGCGCGAGCAGGUGCGAAAGCAGGUCAUAGUGAUCCGGUGGUUCUGAAUGGAAGGGCCAUCGCUCAACGGAUAAAAGGUACUCCGGGGAUAACAGGCUGAUACCGCCCAAGAGUUCAUAUCGACGGCGGUGUUUGGCACCUCGAUGUCGGCUCAUCACAUCCUGGGGCUGAAGUAGGUCCCAAGGGUAUGGCUGUUCGCCAUUUAAAGUGGUACGCGAGCUGGGUUUAGAACGUCGUGAGACAGUUCGGUCCCUAUCUGCCGUGGGCGCUGGAGAACUGAGGGGGGCUGCUCCUAGUACGAGAGGACCGGAGUGGACGCAUCACUGGUGUUCGGGUUGUCAUGCCAAUGGCACUGCCCGGUAGCUAAAUGCGGAAGAGAUAAGUGCUGAAAGCAUCUAAGCACGAAACUUGCCCCGAGAUGAGUUCUCCCUGACCCUUUAAGGGUCCUGAAGGAACGUUGAAGACGACGACGUUGAUAGGCCGGGUGUGUAAGCGCAGCGAUGCGUUGAGCUAACCGGUACUAAUGAACCGUGAGGCUUAACCUU